UCGCUUUGCACCUUGACUUCGCUUCUGUUCGGCGCGGCUUCAUAUUUGAAUGCUUUGCGUUGAACAAGGCAUUGAAUAAUGCGGUUCGUGCUGCUGCUGCUCCAAGUCUGCCUCUCGGGACUCGGGUUUUCCUGGGGCAGUCCUGGCAAGAGGUUCCUCAUGAUGUAUCCCCAGAAUAAUGAUCCAGCACCGGAUGUCAGCCAUGAACUCAGUCUCACAGCCACCGGCGUCUGGGCUUACGCCACUGUGGAGAUUUUGAAAAGUGGCUUUGUGAAACACGUUUUCCUUUCUGCUGGCCGGCCAAAGACCAUCCACCUGCCGCCGUCUGUGGGAAUGACCAGCACACGCUCCCCCAACCUCCUCAGUGUGAAAUCUAUGCAACCCAUU